GGAAUAAGGCCGGAAUGCACCAAUGAGAACGGUGGAAGGCGCCAUGUUGAGGCUUGGCUUUGCCUUGUGCAUACCCUUCUUUGGGCUAUUCAGCCGAUGAAUCUAAACUAUAACCAAUCGACGCAUCCAAGUGAGGCGGAGGAAAUCUCUCAAAUUUGGUUGUGCUCGUGCUUGUCACCAACCUUGGUACCUGAAGAUUAAAUUAACACAUUUAACCAUUUAUUCGUGUUUUCUAUGCCUGCAUAGUUGCUUGAAUAUAGCUUUUUAUGUAAAAACAUCGAUGUAAACAAUGCCCAUGAGUGGUGGGAAUUUAAGCAUGAUGAUGUUGAGGAUACAAUCAAAUUCUUUAUGAGGAAAAGGGAAAAACAUAAGCACCUUUGGAUU